AAUCAUAAUGUUCCAGCAACUGAAAGUAACAGACAAGAAGAUUCUAAAUAGUGAUAAAAUGCAAUGUCCAUACAUAAAAGUGUCAUCUGCAAAGGGGUGAAAAGGCUAAAAAAAAUUAAAGCUAUACUUGUCCACAUGCAGGUAUUUACAUAACACAGUUUCAUCAUAAGUUGUACAUAGUUAUCUAGGUUAUUCUAAUGCAGCCAACAAAAAGGACUCACAGUGUAAGGGAGGGUUUUUACAAAUUGUGCAAGUGAUACACCUGAAGAGAAAAAUACAAUCAAACUACUUGCGGUUUCGAGCAUCUCUUUAUCUCCCUACCGAUCGUAACUACAAAAAAGAGGAGAUUACUAUAUGCAAUCGAAACAAUAAAGCAAAACAGAAAAAAGGGUUGCAACUUUCUUGGAUGUGUAAUUCCUUUCAUGAAUCCAAAGUCCUCAAUGAAGCACCAAAA
rnacentral:lncRNA from 1 species